AUACUUACCUGGCGUAGAGGUUAACCGUGAUCAUGAAGGCGGUUCCUCCGGAGUGAGGCUUGGCCAUUGCACCUCGGCUGAGUUGACCUCUGCGAUUAUUCCUAAUGUGAAUAACUCGUGCGUGUAAUCGUGCGGGGUAUCUUGCAGUGCAGUCACUUC